rnacentral:rRNA from 1 species
UACGUAGGGUGCGAGCGUUUGUCCGGAAUUAUUGGGCGUAAAGAGCUCGUAGGCGGUUUGUCACGUCUGCUGUGAAAUCCCGAGGCUCAACCUCGGGCCUGCAGUGGGUACGGGCAGACUGGAGUGCGGUAGGGGAGAAUGGAAUUCCUGGUGUAGCGGUGGAAUGCGCAGAUAUCAGGAGGAACACCGAUGGCGAAGGCAGUUCUCUGGGCCGUAACUGACGCUGAGGAGCGAAAGUGUGGGGAGCGAACAGG